CAACAGUAGAACAGGUUACCCUCCUCAGAACCAAUGGUAGAACAGGUUACCCUCCUCAGAACCAACAGUAGAACAGGUUACCCUCCUCAGAACCAACGGUAGAACAGGUUACCCUCCUCAGAACCAACGGUAGAACAGGUUACCCUCCUCAGAACCAACAGUAGAACAGGUUACCCUCCUCAGAACCAACGGUAGAACAGGUUACCCUCCUCAGAACCAACGGUAGAACAGGUUACCCUCCUCAGAACCAACGGUAGAACAGAGAGAGAGGUUACCCUCCUCAGAACCAACAGUAGAACAGGUUACCCUCCUCAGAACCAACAGUAGAACAGAGAGAGGUUACCCUCCUCAGAACCAACAGUAGAACAGAGAGAGGUUACCCUCCUCAGAACCAACAGUAGAACAGGUUACCCUCCUCAGAACCAACAGUAAAACAGAGAGAGGUUACCCUCCUCAGAACCAAUGGUAGAACAGGUUACCCUCCUCAGAACCAACAGUAGAACAGAGAGAGGUUACCCUCCUCAGAACCAAUGGUAGAACAGGUUACCCUCCUCAGAACCAACAGUAGAACAGAGAGAGGUUACCCUCCUCAGAACCAACAGUAGAACAGAGAGAGGUUACCCUCCUCAGAACCAACAGUAGAACAGGUUACCCUCCUCAGAACCAACAGUAGAACAGGUUACCCUCCUCAGAACCAACAGUAGAACAGGUUACCCUCCUCAGAACCAAUGGUAGAAUAGGUUACCCUCCUCAGAACCAACGGUAGAACAGGUUACCCUCCUCAGAACCAAUGGUAGAACAGAGAGAGGUUACCCUCCUCAGGACCAACAGUAGAACAGGUUACCCUCCUCAGAACCAACAGUAGAACAGGUUACCCUCCUCAGAACCAACAGUAGAACAGAGAGAGGUUACCCUCCUCAGAACCAACGGUAGAACAGGUUACCCUCCUCAGAACCAACAGUAGAACAGAGAGAGGUUACCCUCCUCAGAACCAACAGUAGAACAGAGAGAGGUUACCCUCCUCAGAACCAACGGUAGAACAGGGAGAGGUUACCCUCCUCAGAACCAACAGUAGAACAGAGAGAGGUUACCCUCCUCAGAACCAACAGUAGAACAGAGAGAGGUUACCCUCCUCAGAACCAACGG